rnacentral:rRNA from 1 species
AUACGUAGGUGACAAGCGUUAUCCGGAUUUACUGGGCGUAAAGGGCGUGUAGGCGGUCUUGCAAGUCAGAAGUGAAAUUCCUGAGCUCAACUCGGGCGCUGCUUCUGAAACUGCAGGACUUGAGUGCUGGAGGGGAUAGCGGAAUUCCUAGUGGAGCGGUAAAAUGCGCAGAUGUUAGGAAGAACACCGUUGGCGAAGGCGCAUAUCAGGGCAGUAACAGACGCUGAGGCGCGAAAUCGUGGAGAGCAAAAAGGAUUGGAUACCCUGGUAGUCCACGCCGUAAACGAGGAAUACUAGGUGUAGGGGGUAUCGACUCCCUCUGUGCCGCAGUUACCACAAUAAGUAUUCCGCCUGGGGAGUAAGGCCGCACGGUGGAAACUCAAAGGAAUUAACGGGC